rnacentral:rRNA from 1 species
UACAGAGGUCUCAAGCGUUGUUCGGAUUCAUUGGGCGUAAAGGGUGCGCAGGCGGACUGGUGAGUCUGGGGUGAAAUCUCGCUGCUUAACAGCGAAACUGCCUUAGAUACUAUCAGUCUUGAAUCAGCGAGAGGUUCGUGGAAUUCCGAGUGUAGCAGUGAAAUGUGUAGAUAUUCGGAAGAACACCAGUGGCGAAGGCAGCGAACUGGCGCUCGAUUGACGCUCAGGCACGAAAGCAUGGGGAUCAAACAGG